GAUGAACGCUGGUGGCGUGCUUAACACAUGCAAGUCGAACGAUGAAGCCCAGCUUGCUGGGUGGAUUAGUGGCGAACGGGUGAGUAACACGUGAGUAACCUGCCCUUAACUCUGGGAUAAGCCUGGGAAACUGGGUCUAAUACCGGAUAGGAGCGUCCACUGCAUGGUGGGUGUUGGAAAGAUUUAUCGGUUUUGGAUGGACUCGCGGCCUAUCAGCUUGUUGGUGAGGUAAUGGCUCACCAAGGCGACGACGGGUAGCCGGCCUGAGAGGGUGACCGGCCACACUGGGACUGAGACACGGCCCAGACUCCUACGGGAGGCAGCAGUGGGGAAUAUUGCACAAUGGGCGCAAGCCUGAUGCAGCGACGCCGCGUGAGGGAUGACGGCCUUCGGGUUGUAAACCUCUUUCAGUAGGGAAGAAGCGAAAGUGACGGUACCUGCAGAAGAAGCACCGGCUAACUACGUG
rnacentral:rRNA from 1 species